UGGGGAAUCUUGCGCAAUGGGCGAAAGCCUGACGCAGCCAUGCCGCGUGGAUGAUGAAGGUCUUAGGAUUGUAAAAUCCUUUCACCGGGGACGAUAAUGACGGUACCCGGAGAAGAAGCCCCGGCUAACUUCGUGCCAGCAGCCGCGGUAAUACGAAGGGGGCUAGCGUUGCUCGGAAUUACUGGGCGUAAAGGGCGCGUAGGCGGACAGUUAAGUUGGGGGUGAAAGCCCGGGGCUCAACCUCGGAAUUGCCUUCAAUACUGGCUGUCUUGAGUACGGGAGAGGUGUGUGGAACUCCGAGUGUAGAGGUGAAAUUCGUAGAUAUUCGGAAGAACACCAGUGGCGAAGGCGACACACUGGCCCGUUACUGACGCUGAGGCGCGAAAGCGUGGGGAGCAAACAGGAUUAGAUACCCUGGUAGUCCACGCCGUAAACGAUGAGUGCUAGUUGUCGGCAUGCAUGCAUGUCGGUGACGCAGCUAACGCAUUAAGCACUCCGCCUGGGGAGUACGGUCGCAAGAUUA
rnacentral:rRNA from 1 species